CCCUUAGAUGUUCUGGGCCGCACGCGUGCUACACUGAGUGGAUCAGCGGGUCAGGUUGCGCGAAAGCGUUUCCUAAUCUUUAAAUCCGCUCGUGAUGGGGAUUGACUGUUGCAAUUUUCUGUCAUGAACGAGGAAUACCUUGUAAGCGCGGGUCAUCAUCCCGCGCUGAAUACGUCCCUGCCCUUUGUACACACCGCCCGUCGCUCCUACCGGUUGAGUGGUCCGGUGAGGCUUUGGGAUCUGAGCGGAAAGAGCGUUUCGCUGUUUCUGCUCGGAAAACUCAGUCGAACCUUAUCAUUUAGAGGAAGGAGAAGUCGUAACA
rnacentral:rRNA from 1 species